AGCUCAUUCCUUUGGUUCUAGUCUACCAGAUGCCACUUCUGGUCCAUUUGCAUAUAACACUGGAGAAGUGUUCCUUUAUCUUUGUGAAGCCCUUAACAUUCAAGGAGCCACUACUGCUUCUAUGCUGCUGAAAAACACAAGACACUGCCUCUGCCUCUGCAUCUGUCCUUUGCUUUUUGCCUGGAAACUAUCACAUCAAAUCACAUUGAGAUCAGUUCCUACUUAGCUCUCACUGGCAAACUAUCAGUAGAAGAAGCCUGGACAAAACUGAGUUCAAUGCUUCACAAUUGCUGCGCUCUUCUUCUCCCCAGUGGAAAAAAAAAAAUGCUCUCUGCACCACAUGGACGCUGGCUGCUGCCAGAGGAUGGAGGAGGGGAUGAUGUUGGUCAUUCAAGACUGUUUUUCCUACCUCUUCAGUGCCUCUUUCAACUGUAUGAAGUUAAAACCAGCUUGGCAGGCUCUAGAGAGACUGACCUCUGCAGAUGGUUUAAAGGCAUAAGCUCAAGGGUCCACAGUUCACAGGGCUGCCAAUCAGGCCUGUGCAGAAAACUCAACAGUGUAAAAGAAUAUACGAAGACAGAACCUCAACCUAGAAGAAAUAGACAAAUUCCCAGACACAUCAAGGAAUUCCUAGACAAACUAUCAAAACUGAAUCAUGAUUAGAUAGAAAAUCUGAACAGAUCAAUAUAAGUAAAGAGAUUAAAGCAGUAAUAAACUCUCCCAUCAAAGAAAAGCUCAGGACCUGAUGGCUUCACUGCUGAAUUCUACCAAACAUUUAAAGAACUAAUACCAAUCAUUCUCAAACUCUUUUUAAAAAUUGAAGAUGAGCGAACACUUCCAAAUUCAUAUCACGAGGCCAGCAUUACCCUGAUACCAAAGCCAGACAAAGACACUAUAAGAAAAGGCAAUUAUGGACCAAUAUCCCUGAUAAACAUGGAUGUAAAAAUCCUCAUCAAAAUACUAGCAAAUGAAAUUCAACUGCAAAUUUAAAAAAGCAUUCACCAUGAUCGAGUGGGAUUUAUCCCUGGGAUGCAGGAAGGUUCAACAUACACAAAUCCAUAAGCGUGAUACACCACAUCAACAAGAUGAAGGACAAAAUGUUUAUAAUCUCAAUAGAUGCAGGAAAAGCAUUUCACAGAAUUCAGCACCCUUUCAUGAUUUAAAAAAAACUCAACAAAAUAUAGGAGGACUGCACCUCAACACAAUAAAGGCCAGAUAUGACAAACCCACAGCUAACAUUCUCAACAGUGAAAAGUUAAAAGCUUUUCUUCUGAGAUCAGGAACAAGACAAUAAUGCUCACUCUCUCGACUUCUGUUCAUCGUAACGUUGGAAGUUCUAGACAGAGCAAUUAGGC
rnacentral:lncRNA from 1 species